GACCAGGAGAGAGAGGUAAGUGCUUCAUUGUUAAUGAAAAUGGAUUACUUCUCCUAUUUUUCACAGUGGAACUGUAUGUCAUCCCAUUGCAUUACAUGAGUUCGAUUAAGACAUUUAUAAGCCAAAAACAUGGAACUUUUAGCUAGAAGCAUGAUUUUAGAGUAUCGCACCAAAUUAAGAGAUCUUACACCCUUGCUUGCAUGUGGUUCUUGAUGCUUCUGACAUAAUCUUGAAUCAAGAACCUUUGAUGCUAUCAUAUUUCAUUGUUUGCUUCAACUAAAGCUAUAGUAUGUGUUAUUACCAAUUUUAAAAUAUUAUCAUAUAAUGUAACCAGUAACCACUUCCGAGUUUCUAUUACCAAAUUCUAACCGCAGGUUUGACAUUGAUGCCUAUCUCGUCAACUGUUGCCCCGAAGCACACAGGACAUUGGAAGGUUGAUGUCCCUGCCAUCCCUCGAACCAAGCAUUUUGAAAAGUCGCAUUCAUAAAAAAGAAUCAAGAGCUACUUUAGAAGCUAUGUUAUAAGCUAAUGAAGAUAAACAACACUUAGAAUAAGCAAAAGUCUUUAUGCAAUAAAAUUUGAUAAUAUGUAUGACUGUAUAUGUAUAUACGCACAAACACACACUUCUGCAUUUAAUAGACAUUUAAUGGUUAAUUUUUGAGAAGAUGCUAUCUUUCUUCGUGCUUUACACUUUGAAUGCAUGAACACCUUGUUUAACAUCUAUUUCUGGUGUACAUGAUUUAUAGCAACAAAAUUUUGUAUCUGAUUUGAAACCUUCUCAUCCAUUCACUGAUUGGUGAAUUAGUUAAUUUUAAUGCUAACUAGUUUCUGUCCCUCAUAAUCUCCAGCAACUUAAUUGUGUUCAGUGUCUCAUAAACAAAAAAAAAUGUGUUCAGUGUCUUAAUUUCUAGCACCUAAUGAAUUCUUGGUGAAUAUAAAGUUUCAUAUUCUGCUGUAUGAUUAUCACAGGAAGAAUCCUAUCGUAGCUUCAAGGCAGCUGAGUUGGAUUUGAUGUAAACUGUAGGAAGGAUUCUGAACAUGAUUUGUUAAUGCCCUUUCAGAUUAUUUCCGGCAAUCAUUGUCCCAUCAAUUUGGGGACAACUGGUCAUUCUUAAU
rnacentral:lncRNA from 1 species